UACGAAGGGUGCAAGCGUUAAUCGGAAUUACUGGGCGUAAAGCGUGCGCAGGCGGUUUGUUAAGUCCGCUGUGAAAUCCCCGAGCUCAACUUGGGAAUUGCAGUGGAUACUGGCAAGCUGGAGUAUGGUAGAGGAAGGUGGAAUUCCCGGUGUAGCAGUGAAAUGCGUAGAGAUCGGGAGGAACACCAGUGGCGAAGGCGGCCUUCUGGACCAAUACUGACGCUCAUGCACGAAAGCGUGGGGAGCAAACAGG
rnacentral:rRNA from 1 species